rnacentral:rRNA from 1 species
AUAGAAGUUACUUCGGUACAUCGGUGACAGGUGGUGCAUUGGUUGUCGUCAGCUCGUGUCGUGAGAUGUUGGGUUAAGUCCCGCAACGAGCGCAACCCCUAUUGUUAGUUGCCAUCAUUCAGUUGGGCACUCUAGCGAGACUGCCGGUAAUAAACCGGAGGAAGGUGGGAUGACGUCAAAUCAUCAUGCCCCUUAUGACCUGGGCUACACACGUGCUACAAUGGUUGGUACAACGAGUUGCGAGUCGGUGACGGCGAGCUAAUCUCUUAAAGCCAAUCUCAGCUCGGAUUGUAGGCUGCAACUCGCCUACAUGAAGUCGGAAUCGCUAGUAAUCGCGGAUCAGCACGCCGCGGUGAAUACGUUCCCGGGCCUU